CCCAAAAUUGAACGAGAGAACGCACUGUUACAAGAAAUCGCUCAACUUUUAGAUACCAUUCUUCAGAUCCAAUCACAAACAAAAAGAAAAGAGAUCCAAUCUCACCGAUUAAGGAUGAUGAGCAGAAGGGCUGCUGUUUCUGCAAUUGAUCUCAUUCAUGGAAGAGGUUUUCUGUCUCAGAAAUCGGGUAUUCUCUCUCCUCCAUUCUCUCUCUUCUCUUCCAAGGCUUUUCAACCUAAGCGGUCCAGAAUCGAUUUCAGUUGUGUUAAAGAAUUAAAUGAUUCUAUUGAAUUGUUUCAAAAAAUGAAGAGUAUGCGGCCGGAGCCUUCUAUUUACAUGUACAGCAAGCUUAUGAGUGUUACUGCAAACAUUGAGCAAUACUCAUUUGCACUUUAUGUGUUCGAUGAAAUGCUUAGGAUGGGUGUCCCAGUCGAUACUCACACAAUGACUAUAGCGGUGAACUGUUGUUGUCUCUUGAAAGAUAUAAACUCUGGUUUUUCUCUAAUGGGAUUCUUUUUCAAGAUAGGCUACGAACCAAAUGUCGUGACUAUAAGCACUCUCAUUAAAGGGUUUUUCUUUGUUGAGAAAGAGGCCGAAGCCGUGAAAUUGUUUGAAAAGGUUCUGAAUUUAAAUCUUUGUGUGCCUGAUGAUGUUAUGAUUCUGCAAAUGAUAGAUGGGCUGUGCAAAGCUGGACAGGUCAUUGCAGCCCAUGAUUGGCUUCAUAGAUUAGAAGGUAGUGGGAGGAGUCCCAACAUUAUGGCUUAUAACGCACUAAUUCAUGGAUUAUGCAAGGAAGGAAGGAUGAAAGAGGCUGGGAAUGUGUUGGAAAGUAUGACGCAACAAAAUGUUUCUCCCAAUGUCGUCACUUAUUCAGUGGUAAUAAAUGGAUUUUGUUCGAUGGGUGAAAUCGACAGAGCAAAAGAGCUACUUGACACCAUGGUAGAGAGGGGCCUUAAACCCGAUAUUGUUUGCUAUAACAGCUUGAUAAAUGGAUAUUGUAAGAAGGGGAGCGUGGAUGAAGCUUGGCUUCUGUUCCUUGAAAUUCCCGAUAAAGGUCUCGAGCAUAAUACGCGUACUUAUAAUACGAUGAUACAUGGAUUAUUUACGACAGAUAGAUUUGUUGAGGGCUGGAACCUUUUCGAGGAUAUGGAAGCUCAACACAUACAUCCCAACUUGUAUACUUAUAAUACAUUAUUGGAUGGGCUGUUGAAGCAUAGGAUGGUUGAUGAUGCUCUGCAGUUGCUGUCCGAGAUGGUGGAGAAGGGUGUCUCGCCUAAUGUUGUCACGUGCAACAUAUUGAUAGAUGGAUAUUGCUCGCACGGCGAGAUGGUUAGAGCGAGAGAGCUCUUCGAUUCAAUGGCAGAGAUGGGAAUCAAGCGCGAUACAGUCACCUAUAAUAUCUUGAUUAAGGGAUACUGCAAGGCUAGAAACCUUGAUGAAGCAUGGCGUUUCUUUGAUGAAAUCUCGCAUGUAGGUCUCAAGCACUGCACCGUGUCAUACACCACGAUGAUGCAUGGGCUAAUACGCCAAAGUAGUUUUUUAGACGGAUGGAAGCUUUUCCAGGAUAUGGAAGCUCAGAAGCUGCAUCUGAAUAUGCACACCUACAACAUCUUGUUAGAUGGCUUGUGUAGGAUCCAUCGGAUUAAUGAGGCGUUUGCGUUUUUGAGGGUCAUGGAGGCUAAAGGCGCGAAUCCUGAUAUUGUAACGUAUGGUGUUCUGAUCAACGGCUUGUGCAAGGACGGAAGACUUGAUGAUGCUAUAAGGCUGUUCAACCAUCUCCCUUCCAACGGCUUAAAUCCAAAGGUGGAAAUUUACAACAUGAUGCUCAACUCCCUCUUCCACAAUGAGUGUGAAGGGGAGGCGAAGAGGUUGAUGGAGGAGAUGGAGAGAAGAGGGUGCACGCCUAGUGGCGUGACGUUCAACAUUAUUGUGUGGAAUAUGGUGAAGGGCAAUAAGAUUUAUGAGGCGAUUCCUUUCUUGGAGGAGAUGUGCAGGAGAGGAUUCAAGGUCACUUCGGAGAUCAUUUCUGCUUUGCUUGAGGAACUAAGAAUAGGAGAAGGUAAAGAUGAGAAAUUGCAAGAGAUUAUUAAGAAAGUUUGUGCUCAAAAUUGACCAGUGAAUGCUAUAUGUUGGAGUUUGUAUACGUGAGAUCAAAGUCCUCGGAUAUAUUGAUGAACAAAGAAGGAAACCUGAAGAUUGCAGACUUUGGGCUUGCUUAUUUCACGAGGCCUAAGAGCCGGGAGCUGCUAACCAGCUGCUUCGUGACUCUCUGGUAUCGGCGACCUGAGCUCCUUGGUUCGACAAACUAUGGAGGCGAGGUGGAUCUCUGGAGAUCUUCUUAAUAAGUAUCUCUAUCUCUCCCGGAGAGUCGACAUGAAGCAAAUCGAGAAGACUAUCCAAUAUCUGAUCGACAUCGAAGACUCGUUGUCUGCUGCGUUUCCACUGCAGAGCGAGGAUUCGUUCAGCCUUAGAGCCAAAGUAUUCUGUCUCGGAGCUGCAAACCUGAGUUUGAUUCUUAAUAUGCUUGAAUGGCUUUGUUUUAGUUGGACAGAUGGAGGAGGCUAAGGAUCUUUUCGACGAGCUUCCAUCCAAAGGUAUGCGGCCCAGUGUCGUAACAUAUACAAUCCUUAUCGGUGCACUUUGUGAAGAAGGACAGAUAGAGGAGGCUAAGGAUUUGAUGAUGC